GCCCUAGAUGCUAUUUUACCUAAGUUCUAGCCUUUUGUUUGGAUUUUUAUUUUAAUUAAUAUAAACUUUUUUACCUAAGUUCUAGCCUUUUGUUUGGAUUUUUAUUUUAAUUAAUAUAAACUUCAUGAAUUAUAUAGUCUAGAACUAGUGCACAAGAGCUCCGGUUUAAUUUUGAAAUAUAAACAUCAUCAAUCAUGUUUAAGCUCAAGUAUAUGCUCGAUAUUCUUUUAUUCAAAUCAACAAAUCAUCAAGAAAUUCUUGCAGUAAAGCUUGUAUCUAAAUCAGCUGAC
rnacentral:lncRNA from 1 species